UGUUCAGACAAAUAUUUUGAAAUGAUACUCAGAUUGUGUCGGGUUCGGUCACGUCAGCACAAAGACACUGAACAUACAGAACUUUUGAGAAACAAUGUCAUAGCCCUGCCUCUCUAACCUCAGCCACUCAUAAUGAGUGACAUAUUAUUGUUGUUAACAGCGUAAUUUAACAUACUUUUUUGUUUUGGUGGAUCAUUAAUAAGAUUUAUUUUUGUCGUGAGCAGAAUGCUGAAGUGUGGCAAAAGCAGACCUGCAGU